rnacentral:pre_miRNA from 1 species
UCUUUGGUUAUCUAGCUGUAUGAGUGUAAUUAACAUCAUAAAGCUAGGUUACCAAAGUUA